rnacentral:rRNA from 1 species
UACAGAGGUCUCAAGCGUUGUUCGGAUUCAUUGGGCGUAAAGGGUGCGUAGGCGGCGCGGUAAGUCGGGUGUGAAAUCUCAGGGCUCAACCCUGAAACUGCACUUGAUACUGCUCUGCUUGAGGACUGGAGAGGAGACUGGAAUUCACGGUGUAGCAGUGAAAUGCGUAGCUAUCGUGAGGAAGACCAGUGGCGAAGGCGGGUCUCUGGACAGUUCCUGACGCUGAGGCGCGAAGGCCAGGGGAGCAAACGGG